rnacentral:rRNA from 1 species
GAACAUUGAGCCUUGAUGUGUAGGAUAGGUGGGAGGCUUUGAAGCGUGGACGCCAGUCUGCGUGGAGCCAACCUUGAAAUACCACCCUUUAAUGUUUGAUGUUCUAACGUUGGCCCCUGACCGGGGUUGCGGACAGUGUCUGGUGGGUAGUUUGACUGGGGCGGUCUCCUCCCAAAGCGUAACGGAGGAGCACGAAGGUUAGCUAAUCCUGGUCGGACAUCAGGAGGUUAGUGCAAU